rnacentral:rRNA from 1 species
UACGGGGGGGGUAAGCGUUGUUCGGAAUUACUGGGCGUAAAGGGCUCGUAGGCGGCCAACUAAGUCGGACGUGAAAUCCCUCAGCUUAACUGGGGAACUGCGUCUGAUACUGGAUGGCUUGGAUUUGGGAGAGGGAUGCGGAAUUCCAGGUGUAGCGGUGAAAUGCGUAGAUAUCUGGAGGAACACCGGUGGCGAAGGCGGCAUCCUGGACCAAUACUGACACUGAGGAGCGAAAGCCAGGGGAGCAAACGGG